rnacentral:rRNA from 1 species
CCUACGGGAGGCUGCAGUGGGGAAUAUUGCACAAUGGGCGCAAGCCUGAUGCAGCCAUGCCGCGUGUGUGAAGCAGGCCUUCGGGUUGUAAAGCACUUUCAGCGGGGAGGAAGGCGUUAAGGUUAAUAACCUUGUCGAUUGACGUUACCCGCAGAAGAAGCACCGGCUAACUCCGUGCCAGCAGCCGCGGUAAUACGGAGGGUGCAAGCGUUAAUCGGAAUUACUGGGCGGAAAGCGCACGCAGGCGGUCUGUCAAGUCGGAUGUGAAAUCCCCGGGCUCAACCUGGGAACUGCAUUCGAAGCUGGCAGGCUAGAGUCUUGUAGAGGGGGGUAGAAUUCCAGGUGUAGCGGUGAAAUGCGUAGAGAUCUGGAGGAAUACCGGUGGCGAAGGCGGCCCCCUGGACAAAGACUGACGCUCAGGUGCGAAAGCGUGGGGAGCAAACAGGAUUAGAUACCCUUGUAGUC